AAAAAUUCUAAUUAUAGUUAAUUCUCUAAAAAUUUAAUAAUUAAAUUAAACUUACAUUGGAAUAAUAAAACUAUGGCAGUUUUGAAUUGAACUCGAUCAAAACUAAUGUAGUUUUGAAUUGAAAGAGGAGCAACCUAUACUAAUGACAAACGGAACACCUUGUUUGUUUCUCUAAAUUCAUUUUGAUUGCUUAGUUUCUCUAGCCGCACAACCGCAGUCCCCCAUUCCUCCAGUUGUUCUUCGAUAAUUUCGCUUUGUACGUUACUCUUCGGUCGUUUCUCUUCUGCGUUUUACUGCAAACAUCUCUUCGGUCGUCUCUACUUCAGUUCGGUUGGUGUCAACAGCUCGUUCUCUGCAGACUUAUUUUUUCAGUUCUGAUAUGUGGUAUGGUUGGAUCAUAGCUUUCUCAAGUACUUCGUUCAAUUCUGGACAUGUUUCAGAAGGAAUGGUCUUAAAUCUGGCGGCAAUUGUUUUCUCAGCACAACAUUUCCAGCAAAAAUGAAACAGAGAAGAAUAGCGAUGUGGGUGCCCUUAAUAUAUUUAAGAAAAACUUAGGCUUUUCAUUUAUUAUUAAUUUUUUUUUUUAAAGAUGCUGAUAAUCCCUCAACCACAAUGAAUUUCUGUAGGGUUCAAAAUUUUAUUUUGCUAAUUUGAUAUGAUAUUUUAUUUUGAUAUCGCCAAUAUUGAUUUUUUGCUUCUUAAUUCUUGCAGGUUGCAUGGAUACAAAAGUUUGGCUUGUUUUCCUCUCUUCAAAUUUCAAGCUAUAAGCAAGAACUACCCAAGAAUUUGAGUGAUUUGAUACUAGAAUGUGUCAUUUGAUGGAGCAAUUUAAUUUUAUUUGGUUUAUUGUGUCGUCAUAUUUUUUUUUUAACUUAGUUGCAAUGUGUUGUAAAUUACUUUUUUUUUUCUUGUUAUUUUGUAUUAUUAGUGACCGACAAAAUCAUAUGAUGUGAUUUGAAAACAUGUAUUUUUAACUUGAGUUUGAGCUCGAACUCGAGCUUAGUAAAAUAGCUUAUCCAGCUUGAGGUAAUAAAUGAAUGAAGUUUGAGUUUGACUUGUUAAUAUUAUAAACGUGCUAAUAAACGAACUGAACUCGAGUUUGGUUUGUUAAUAUUACGAUCAAAUUAAUGAAGGGAUUGAGUUUAAGCUCGGCUCAUUAGUAUUAUAAAUGAACUUAAAGUAAGACGAGCUCAAAAAGAGCUCGAAUUUAAUAAAUUUUAAAUGAGUCGAGCUCGAUCAUUAAUUUUAAAGCUCGAGUUGAACUUGAGCCUUAAAUAAAACUGACCCAUCUUGAGCUAGUCAAAGUUUGGCUCAGUUUGGCUUCGUUCGUUUACAUCUUUAGCCAUGAGCCUUGCCUUUUGUUCCUCUCCUCGUCGGCGUCUUCUCCUCUUCUCUCCGUGGUUGGCGUUGAUGGCUUGUCCUUCCUUGAUUGCCACCAAUGAUGGUUUAUGGGAUGGAAAUGUGAGAUUGAUUGGGUAUGAGAGAUAUUGAGAGUUUAAUAACUUGAUUUAAGAGAAAAUUAGGAGAUUUUAGUGAUUGGGUUGAGGGAAAAUUAUGAGAAUGUGAAUGGGAGAGAGAUUGAUUGUGAGAAAGAGAGAGAGAGAGAG
rnacentral:misc_RNA from 1 species